GUGAUUUGGAGAAGAGAGAUGAGCAUGGGUGAGGAAUAGAUAUUUAUUGGAGGGCAUUUAAGAUAUUUCAAGGUUUUUUUUUAUUAUUAUUAAUAAGUUCCAGAUGAAUUUUUAUAACUGAGAAAACGACUAUCAAAGGUAGAAGAAUUUUUGUAUUUGCUAGAUAAGAAGAUGAAAUGGUUGGGGUUUUGGGGAAGAAAAGG
rnacentral:misc_RNA from 1 species